rfam:Stegodyphus mimosarum contig47058, whole genome shotgun sequence.
GAUUUCGUGGUGUAGUGGUCAGCAUGCUGGGCGGGUAUUCCAGAGGUCCGUGGUUCGAGUCCCGGAGAAGGCG